CUACGGGUGGCUGCAGGUAAGAAUCUUUUGCAAUGCGCGCAAGCGUGACAAAGCGAGCCAGAGUGCUUUUCAAUUGAAAAGCUUUUGCUAAAUCUAAAAAUUUUGGCGAAUAAGGACUGGGAGAGACUAGUGCCAGCCGCCGCGGUAAUCCUAGCGGUCCGAGUCGCAGCCAUCAUUAUUGGGUCUAAAACAUCCGUAGCUUGCUUAAUAAGUUCCCUGUGAAAUCCGGCAUCUUAAGUGUCGGGCGUGCAAGGAGUACUGCUAAGCUAGAGACUGGAAGACGUAAGAAGUAUGUUCAAAGUAGCGGUAAAAUGUGUUAAUCUUGAGCAGACUCACAACAGCGAAGGCAUCUUACGAGGACAGUUCUGACAGUAAAGGAUGAAGGCUAGGGGCGCGAAGUGGAUUAGAUACCCCCGUAGUC
rnacentral:rRNA from 1 species